GGAGCGGUGUCCGAGUGGUUUAAGGAGACGGUCUUGAAAACCGCUGUACCGCAAGGUACCGGGGGUUCGAAUCCCCCCUGCUCCG
rnacentral:tRNA from 2 species